rnacentral:rRNA from 1 species
CCUGAGAAACCCGAAAGAUCGAAUGGGGAGAUUCAUCGUCAGCGAUUUCGGUACGUGUGCGGCUCGCGAUGUCGGGGGACCCCGGUCCCGCGGCACGCGUCCGCAUGUUUUUUAUUGCCGGGAUCGUCGGCGUGCACUUCUCCCCUAGUAGGACGUCGCGACCCGUUGGGUGUCGGUCUACNNNNNNNNNNNUACCUGUCCGCGCUSCGCUUCGCGGCGUUACGACGGGGCAGACCGCUGUUGCCCGGCCRGCUGCUUGGCGGUACUCGCACGGUAUCUGGCCGCAGACAUACGAACUGCGUCCGGCCCGUCGCAAGCGCGGCAAGUGUCUUCUCGGAUGUGCGGAUCCAAUGCCGUCACCGGGCCUUGCCAGCUGUUGGUUGACGGUGUCCUAGGACUGGCCAACAAAAUUAUGAUACCGGUCGGCGACGCUACUGCUUUGGGUACUUUCAGGACCCGUCUUGAAACACGGA